AUACGGAGGAUCCGAGCGUUAUCCGGAUUUAUUGGGUUUAAAGGGUGCGCAGGCGGCCAUUUAAGUCAGCGGUUAAAUCGUGGGGCUCAACCCCAUUCUGCCGUUGAUACUGGGUGGCUUGAUUGCGGUCGAGGUUGGCGGAAUUCGUUGUGUAGCGGUGAAAUGCAUAGAUAUGACGAAGAACACCGAUUGCGUAGGCAGCUGACCAGACCGCAAAUGACGCUCAUGCACGAAAGUGCGGGGAUCGAACAGGAUUAGAUACCCUUGUAGUCCGCACAGUAAACGAUGAAUACUUGUUUUCGGCGAUAUAAUGUCGGAGGCAAAGCGAAAGCGAUAAGUAUUCCACCUGGGGAGUACGCCGGCAACGGUGAAACUCAAAUGAAUUGACGGGG
rnacentral:rRNA from 1 species